rnacentral:rRNA from 1 species
AGCAGCCGCGGUAAUUCCAGCUCCAAUAGCGUAUAUUAAAGUUGCUGCGAGUUAAAAAAGCUCGUAGUUGAAUUUCGGGACCAUCAUGUCGGUCGUGCCUCGGUACGUACUGGUAUUGUUGGUUUCUCCCUUCUGACGAACCAUGAUGUCAUUUAUUUGGUGUUGUGGGGAAUCAGGACUGUUACUUUGAAAAAAUUAGAGUGUUUAAAGCAGGCUCACGCUUGAAUACAUUAGCAUGGAAUAAUGAAAUAGGACGUUUGAUUCUAUUUUGUUGGUUCCUAGGAUCGACGUAAUGAUUAAUAAGGAUAGUUGGGGGCAUUAGUAUUCAAUUGUCAGAGGUGAAAUUCUUGGAUUUAUUGAAGACUAACUACUGCGAAAGCAUUUGCCAAGGAUGUUUUCAUUAAUCAAGAACGAAAGUUAGGGGAUCGAAGACGAUCAGAUACCGUCGUA